rnacentral:SRP_RNA from 1 species
GCCGAGCGCACUAGCGAGUGCUUGUAACCUGAGCGGGGGCAAUAAGGUGGCGUGAACGUUGCCGUAGCGCUGUGGGCCUGGUCCAGUUGUGCACCUGCUGGCCCGCCCGUUCCAAGUUGGUAGUGGACCAGCUGGGGCCUGUGCGAAAGCUAGGCGUCACGGGCUUAUAAUGUGGCAGGCAUUGCGUGAGGCUGGUUUAACAGAGCAGCGAAAACUGCCCGCUUCCAACGGUGGGAGGAUAACGGGCUGCUGCACAACUGGGCCGCUUGGCCCUCACAGCCUACUCCAACGAACCACCAUCUUU